UUUCCACAGGGAAUUACUUUGUCUCUCUCCUCCCCUUGCACUGGGUUUUAAACACUGAUGGUGGCUGUAGCUUUUCUCAGAGUGAGACUUUUAUUACAGAAUAAAGCCUUGCCAUUACAUGCCAACAGACAUUUUGCUGCUAUUGUUGAUUCUUCUCAGCCCUAGAAAACUCUGUAACAGUAAAACCUCUUUUUCGGUGGUGGAAGCAGAACCUCUGCUAGGCAGCUUUAUCUGUGUAGCUAUAGGAGCAACUUGUUUGGUGCUUGACUUCAGCUUUAAUAUAAUGAGACCAAUGCAGAUUUUUAGAACUAAGUUAAUCAUCUAUCUCCUGCGUUUUCUUCUUUGGAGGGAAACAUAGCAGGUACAAAAAUCCGGAGAUGAGAAUCAGGAAAAGGCCAAAGCCCAGAAGGAUCAAAGGAUCUUUUGGAAAAAAAGAGGCUGUUCUUAUAUCCCUUGUUUACAGGGACACCUGUGUGGGGCAGGUGCACAGAGGGGAUUUAGUAUCACCAGGAGGAAGCAACGCAGUAAAGGGAAUCAUCAGCAUGUCUGUCUUUCCCUCUGUUCUUCUCACCAGCCAUAGGGAAAUACACCAGUGCCUGACCUGCCCACAGACACCCUGGUCCUUUGGUCUGGAGCAGCCUAUGUUUUCAUGGUCACUUCUAAAAGAAGGAAAGCCAGCCAGCAAUGACUGUGCCUGGUGUUUAAACAGUUCUGCAGUUCUGACAACUGAUCCCUUGGUGUUGUUGAAACCAAAUUAGUCUUGGGAAAGAUGCUGUCAGAUGAAAUCCUCAGACACAAGGGAUUAAAUUCAGUACCUAAAGCCCAGGCUGGAGGGGGAAGGGGUAAGCAUUUCACAUUUGUUACAAGUCAAGUCCAUAGAUCAGUUGAGUUAGGAGAUAUUUUCUCAUGAAAAUCUCAAGCAGAGGCUGGAAAACUAUCCCUCACAUUCUGGUGUCUGUCUUAAUCCACGCCAAGGUUAGCUCAAGCUCUGUUCAGACUGGAUAUGGCAUCCUUUGUAUGUCUGUGCCUCUUCUGUAGCUUAAAUAGCAUUGCCCAAGUGGGUCAUGAAGUCUCUGCAGGGCAUUCCCUAUCACAGAGGUAGAAACUACCUGUACAGUUAAUUGCAAUCACUUAGACUUUUUAGGACCCUAAUCCAUUUGACUGGCACUCCGCAUGUUUGCCUAUAUCUACCGUACUAUGAGGGCAGCCAGUUAAGAGAGAUAGGGAGAGAAAGAGGCUGAGUUAAAGAAAGCAUCUUCCUUUUCCUAGAAGUACCAUAAAGGUAAUUUCUCCAUCUUGUUUUUCCUGUGCUCAUUUAAUCAUCUCAGCUACCAAAAGAUGUGUUUCGCCAAUCAGAGCUGUCCUUUCUGGCCUUCAAACAGCAAAAUACCUCCUCUUUCCUUUUUUCCUACUCUGCGGAACAAGGGGGUAAAACCAGAGUUUGGUUUCAUAUUUCUAGGUUGCAGUACUUAAACUCUGUACAAGUUUCCAUCUUAACCACUUUGGGGGAUGAAACACCCUCUUCUGGGGUGGAAUGGAAGGGGGAGAAAGAGAAGGGAGAGGAAAGCUUAAAGCAAAAAUAAAUUGAAACUGCUACUUAUGUCAUGCAAUGGAUUAGAUGACUAUUCCCUGUGUUCACAAGUUUGCCUAGGUUAUCCAGCCUGUUUCUAUCAUCUCUUUCAGUCCUGUGCUAUAAUUUCACAGAAAUGUGAACUCAGUAGUUACUAGGCAGUUAUACCUUGGCUGAUUGGGACAUGACACGUGGUAUAUGCACUUUGCACGCUUGGAAACCACCUUCAUUUUCUAGGAGAAGUACCAUGAAGGUAAUUUCUCUAACUUGUUUUUCCUCUGUGCUAGUUUAAUCAGCUUAGCUAUUAAAAGAUAACACAGGUUUAGGGCUAUCAUUAGCCCAGCAUGGUCAUGUGGUUAUGCUGGUAGUUAGCACUGUUGCUGAACUCAGUGUUACUUUUUCUUUUAAUAGGUAACUACAUAACAAAAACAGUGCCCACUGCACAUCUAAAGAAGCAAAAGAAAAAUGAACACUCCCUGAACCUGCAUUCAAUUAUUUCUUCAGCAGCUUUCUUCCCUUCUUUCUCCUCUGUGAUAUUAAUAUCUAUAUCCAAAGCAUUUAACUGCUUGAAUUGGGAUUAAGACACUCCAGUCUAAAAUUACAAUCCUGCAAUCCUCCUGCUCUGCAAGUUUGAGGUAUCAAAAAUCACUGUGAGGGCUCUAAGAGGGCCAAGCAACUCGCGUUUGAAUCAUGAUGAAGAAACUCUGUAUUGCUUAGCCUGGGUCCCCAGGAGCUCAGUUUGGUCAGCAUCCCAAGUCCUAGGCAUGCUUCCAGGAUACUGGACUCUUCACUCUUACAGUCCUUGGUGAUGUUUUCUUUUGAAGCAUAACCACAAGGAGAAGAAAGAGGCAAUGGGUGCUCCUUACAUACAGAAGUCUAGGUCUUAGUCCACUUAAUGAGACUGCAGGAUACCAAGUUCCAUUUCCUUCUUUCCCCAUGGGAAUUUCAACCUGCACCUCUGUAGUGUACCUAUAACCACCAGAUUACAAACUCUCCUGGGAUGGGAAUGUGCUGCCAACCUCCUGUCAGGCCAGUAGGACCAGAGUAAGAUGAGUGCUGCUGUAGCCCAGUCAUCGAAGCCAACUUCCCUGUGUCUGCUCUGGGUGCUGCAAGUGUAUGUUGUCUACUGAGCGUUUAAUAGAUAUUUAAUUCAGUUCUGCUCACUUUUAUCCCUAGACUUCGGUUUUAGCCUCAAAUGUUUGUUGGAAACUAUACUUCAUUCUUUAUUCUGCUUACAGUACGAUCUGUUUUAUUAUUAGAGCAUAAUUUGGUUCUUAUGUUAAUAAUUGGUGUAACCGGGUCUUCCCCUACUCCCCAUGAUUUCUAAUUAACACUAUUACUUUUGGAUGGAAGAUAAACUGUAAACAUCCAGUCCUUUUAUCUGGACAAAAAUCCCCACAGAUCAUUGCUCAAGGGAAACCACCCUGACACAUACAUGGGGUCAGUGGUAGCACAGGAAGCAAUGUUAACACUUCUAUUUCUGCACCCAUUUUACCAUGCAAUAAAGCACAAGGAGUCUCCAACAAACUAUGUCAAGUGCCUUGUGCUGCACAGGUUUUCACCAUGCUGUACCCGAUACAUCCCUUUUUCCUCUGCUCCUUUAGAAAAUGGAUGGGAAGAAAUCAUAAGAGGUACUGAGCUAAGUUUCCUAGUUGUGCAAUACAUGCAAGAAAGACCACCCAUAUGUAUGUGCAUGUAACACAGCACAGAAACACAAAGAUACCUCAAAGAGCUCAAACCAUUUAAAAGGCCCGUACACUACACUUGUGGCAACAGGACAGAGUCAAACCUGACAGAGGAUCCCUCACAGCUCUUACUAAGUCCAAUUCACUGUUGCUAGCAUAUUGAGCAGCCCUUAAACUUACCAAAUAAAAGACAUCACAGUCUCUGGUCCACUGAGGAUUUUCUACAGGUGGAUUAGACAUACUGAUACUUGCAGGCAUUCAUCAAUGGCAAUGUAAUUGCUUUAAUUAUAGCACUGCUAUCAGCCCUCCCACAGUGAGGGAAGGCGGACAGCUAAAGCACUCAAGGCUCAGGUGAAAAUCAAAUGGGUUGGUGCCAAAGCUUCCCUCUAUGCCUAUGCUCCCUCCAGCAGGAUCACAGGGGUGGUAUGGAGGUCCCAUCCUACUCCCCAACAGAUUUGUCUCAGAAAUACUAAUAGGAUCAGUGCUGGGAAUGAGAUUAGAAAACUGAAUUUGAACAUUUUGUUUCAACUAAAUGGAUUAACUUGUGAGUUUGGUACAGCCAAACAUCCACGUUCACCCUCAGAAGCAUAACUAUGAAAUCACUGUUCAGAAAUGCUCCUUUCCUCUUUUUAAAGCUACUUAGUUUUCACAAUUUUAAUAAGAUGUUGGGCUAAACAUUAAGUCAUUAAAAUUCUUUAAAGGGCUUUAUUCUCUCCUGAGCUAUGAGGGUGAUGAAGGAUUUUGUAAGGGCUAUGGUUAAAUCAGAUGUGUUUGUGUCUCAGCUGACCUUACUCUACGAGCACUCAUGUAGUGUUAACACAGCUGGUGACCUUCUGGUGCAAGGCACCCAAUCGUCCCACUCUUUCUAGGUCUGUUCCAUAAGUGGAACUUGUCAGUGCUCAGAAUAGUUAACUACAAUCAGAUUAAAACCGGUUUAGAUGGCGGCUUCAUGCCUGAGGUGAUCAAGUGGCCAGAUGUCACCAGUGGGGAGGUUCAGCUCCAUACCUGUACGUAGGUGCUCCUGCUGCCUGCUCCUGCGGGGAAACCCAAGUCUGCAAGCUGGGUCAACUGGAAACCAGCAACUCUUCACAGGGUACCCGCCCUGUCCUGGAGGACCAAAGGGAAGACAACACGUUGAUAGGGACAGGACCAUGGUCACCCUGGCAUAGCUGGCAUAGGAGAGCACACGCUCAUGGUCUUUUAUUAUGGCUAUGCAGCAACUGGCAGUGCAAUGCUGCUGAAGGGGUGCAGUCCUGCCUCCCCUCCUCUGGUGCCAUAUCUAGCAAUUGCAAAGCCACAGGAUGAGCUGGCUUGGCAGGCUGUGCCACUGCUUGGGAAGAUAAGCUUGUUCUCCAAGGCGUGGCAGAGCUGCUGAGUCACAGAGCCCCCAGCAAAUGCUCCCCCUUGGCACCUCUGUACUUGAGUCCAACCAGCUUCAGGAGGUAGUAGCAGCUAUGGCUGAGGAGUUAAUGGUGUGCAGUGAGGAAACAUGCUCAGCAUUGGUUGAUGGGGUGAUGGUGACUGAGCAAGCUGAUUUUUUUAUUCGCAUACCACUUUAUCCUGAGGAAGUGGCUGACUUGAAUUAUUAGAGGAAUCCAUCAGAAGUGGCUGUCUCUGGAAGUGCAACAGGCAGCAGCCAU